rnacentral:misc_RNA from 1 species
GAUGAAGAACGCAGCGAAAUGCGAUAAGUAAUGUGAAUUGCAGAAUUCCGUGAAUCAUCGAAUCUUUGAACGCACAUUGCGCCCCCUGGUAUUCCGGGGGGCAUGCCUGUCCGAGCGUCAUUGCAACCCUCAAGCGCGGCUUGUGUGUUGGGCCCUCGUCCCCCGUGGACGUGCCCGAAAUGCAGUGGCGGCGUCGUGUUCCGGUGCCCGAGCGUAUGGGGCUUUGUCACCCGCUCUUGUAGGCCCGGCCGGCGCUUGCCGACACAUCAAUCUUUUUUCCAGGUUGACCUCGGAUCAGGUAGGGAUACCCGCUGAACUUAAGCAUAUCAAUAAGCGGAGGA